UACGGGGGGUGCAAGCGUUAAUCGGAAUGACUGGGCGUAAAGGGUGCGUAGGUGGUUUAUUAAGUUGUCUGUAAAAGCCCUGGGCUUAACCUGGGAAUGAGAGAUGAGACUGAUAGACUUGAGUAUAGUAGAGGGCAGUGGAAUUUCCGGUGUAGCGGUGAAAUGCGUAGAGAUGUGGAGGAACACCGAUGGCGAAGGCAGCCCCCUGGGCCAAUACUGACGCUCAUGCACGAAAGCGUGGGGAGCAAACAGG
rnacentral:rRNA from 1 species